rnacentral:rRNA from 1 species
UGUCGCGUGUUCUGGACCCGAAGCGGGGUGAUCUACCCAUGGCCAGGUUGAAGCAGAGGUAAGACUGUGUGGAGGACCGAACCCACCAGGGUUGAAAACCUGGGGGAUGAGCUGUGGGUAGGGGUGAAAGGCCAAUCAAACUCCGUGAUAGCUGGUUCUCCCCGAAAUGCAUUUAGGUGCAGCGUUGUGUGUUGCCUGGUGGAGGUAGAGCUACUGGAUGGCCGAUGGGCCCUAUGGGUUACUGACGUCAGCCAAACUCCGAAUGCCAUUAGGUUGAGCAUGGCAGUGAGACUGCGGGGGAUAAGCUUCGUAGUCGAGAGGGAAACAGCCCAGAUCAUCAGCUAAGGCCCCUAAGUGUGCGCUAAGUGGGAAAGGAUGUGAGAUCGCGGUGACAACCAGGAGGUUGGCUUAGAAGCAGCCAUCCUUGAAAGAGUGCGUAAUAGCUCACUGGUCAAGUGGUUUCGCGCCGACAAUGUAGCGGGGCUUAAGCGUACCGCCGAAGCUGUGGCACUCACACAUGAAAGAGCCUGGGCAGGGGACCUGCCUAAGGUUGUGUGGGUGGGUAGGGGAGCGUCCUGCGUGCGGUGAAGCCUGCUGGGAACGGUUGGUGGAGCGUGUGGGAGUGAGAAUGCAGGCAUGAGUAACGAAUGGCGGGUGAGAAUCCCGUCCGCCGAUUGACUAAGGGUUCCAGGGCUAGGUUUAUCCGCCCUGGGUUAGUCGGGUCCUAAGGCGAGGCCGACAGGCGUAGUCGAUGGACAACCAGUUGAUAUUCUGGUACCGCGUUGUGACCGCCAAAUACUGAAGCUUUUAUGCUAACCACCCGCAUCUGGACUGUUCAUUCCUUCGGGUUUGAUCAGCUUGGGUGUUGUGGGAUCCUGAUUGUUGUAGGUAAGCGUGUUAACAGGGGUGACACAGGAAGGUAGCUGCCGCGCACCGAUGGUUGUGUGUGUCUAAGGUUGUGGCCCGUCUGCCAGGUAAAUCCGGUAGGCAUGUAGGGUGAGGACUGAUGGGGGUGCCCUUUUGGGGUGUCUGGUGGUGAUCCUAAGCUGUCAAGAAAAGCCUCGACGUGAGGGCAUGACGCGCCCGUACCCUAAACCGACUCAGGUGGUCAGGUAGAGUAUACCGAGGCGUUCGAGUGAAUCAUGGUUAAGGAACUCGGCAAAAUUCCUCCGUAACUUCGGGAUAAGGAGGACCCUGUGACGUCCCCCC